UAGGGAAUCUUCGGCAAUGGGGGGAACCCUGACCGAGCAACGCCGCGUGAGUGAAGAAGGUUUUCGGAUCGUAAAGCUCUGUUGUUAAGGAAGAACGAGUGUGAGAAUGGAAAGUUCAUACUGUGACGGUACUUAACCAGAAAGGGACGGCUAACUACGUGCCAGCAGCCGCGGUAAUACGUAGGUCCCGAGCGUUGUCCGGAUUUAUUGGGCGUAAAGCGAGCGCAGGCGGUUAGUUAAGUCUGAAGUUAAAGGCAGUGGCUCAACCAUUGUAGGCUUUGUAAUCUGUUUAACUUGAUUGCAGAAGGGAAGAGUGAAAUUCCAUGUGUAGCGGUGAAAUGCGUGGAUAUAUGGAAGAACACCUGUGGCGAAAGCAGCUCUCUGGUCUAUAACUGACGCUGAGGCUCGAAAGCGUGGGGAGCGAACAGG
rnacentral:rRNA from 1 species